GCUGCAACCAACCCUCAUCUCCCGCCCCCCAGAGGAAACUGUCUUUGACAAGCACGUUCCUCAGAAGCUUGUCCAAGUUGAGCUGCCCGAGUACAUCCUGGACAUGGGCACUGUCGUUCAGGGUUUCAGUAAAAGCUGCAUUGUGAAGAUCACCAACACCUGGAGGGACCCAGUGGCCGUCCGGGCCGAUGAACGUGCCCUGGGUGACACAGGUUUCAGCAUAUACCUG